rnacentral:rRNA from 1 species
GCUACACAUGCAGUCGAGCGGUAACAGAUCCAGCUUGCUGGAUGCUGACGAGCGGCGGACGGGUGAGUAAUGCAUAGGAAUCUGCCCGGUAGUGGGGGAUAACCUGGGGAAACCCAGGCUAAUACCGCAUACGUCCUACGGGAGAAAGGGGGCUUCGGCUCCCGCUAUCGGAUGAGCCUAUGUCGGAUUAGCUAGUUGGUGAGGUAACGGCUCACCAAGGCCACGAUCCGUAGCUGGUCUGAGAGGAUGAUCAGCCACAUCGGGACUGAGACACGGCCCGAACUCCUACGGGAGGCAGCAGUGGGGAAUAUUGGACAAUGGGGGGAACCCUGAUCCAGCCAUGCCGCGUGUGUGAAGAAGGCCCUCGGGUUGUAAAGCACUUUCAGCGAGGAAGAACGCCUAGCGGUUAAUACCCGCUAGGAAAGACAUCACUCGCAGAAGAAGCACCGGCUAACUCCGUGCCAGCAGCCGCGGUAAUACGGAGGGUGCAAGCGUUAAUCGGAAUUACUGGGCGUAAAGCGCGCGUAGGUGGCUUGAUAAGCCGGUUGUGAAAGCCCCGGGCUCAACCUGGGAACGGCAUCCGGAACUGUCAAGCUAGAGUGCAGGAGAGGAAGGUAGAAUUCCCGGUGUAGCGGUGAAAUGCGUAGAGAUCGGGAGGAAUACCAGUGGCGAAGGCGGCCUUCUGGACUGACACUGACACUGAGGUGCGAAAGCGUGGGUAGCAAACAGGAUUAGAUACCCUGGUAGUCCACGCCGUAAACGAUGUCGACCAGCCGUUGGGUGCCUAGCGCACUUUGUGGCGAAGUUAACGCGAUAAGUCGACCGCCUGGGGAGUACGGCCGCAAGGUUAAAACUCAAAUGAAUUGACGGGGGCCCGCACAAGCGGUGGAGCAUGUGGUUUAAUUCGAUGCAACGCGAAGAAUCUUACCUACUCU